rnacentral:rRNA from 1 species
GAUGAACGCUGGCGGCGUGCCUAAUACAUGCAAGUCGAGCGAACAGACGAGGAGCUUUCUCCUCUGACAUUAUCGGCGGACGGGUGAGUAACACGUGGAUAACCUACCUAUAAGACUGGGAUAACUGCGGGAAACCGGUGCUAAUACCGGAUAAUAUAUUGAACCGCAUGGUUCAAUAGUGAAAGACGGUUUUGCUGUCACUUAUAGAUGGAUCCGCGCCGCAUUAGCUAGUUGGUAAGGUAACGGCUUACCAAGGCAACGAUGCGUAGCCGAUCUGAGAGGGUGAUUGGCCAGACUGGAAGUGAGACACAGUCCAGACGCCUACGGGAGGAAGCAGUAGGGAAUCUUCCGCGAUGGGCGAAUGCCUGACGGAGCAACGUCGCCGGAGUGAUGAAGGUCUUCGGAUGGUAAAACUCUGUUAUUAGUGAAGAACAAAUGUGUAAGUAACUAUGCACGUCUUGACGGUAACUAAUCAGAAAGCCACGGCUAACUACGUG